AGAGUUUGAUCAUGGCUCAGAUUGCACGCUGGCGGCAGGCCUUAACACAUGCAAGUCGAACGGUAACAGGAGAAAGCUUGCUUUCUUGCUGACGAGUGGCGGACGGGUGAGUAAUGCUUGGGAAUCUGGCUUAUGGAGGGGGAUAACUACGGGAAACUGUAGCUAAUACCGCGUAAUAUCUUCGGAUUAAAGGGUGGGACUUUCGGGCCACCUGCCAUAAGAUGAGCCCAAGUGGGAUUAGGUAGUUGGUGGGGUAAGGGCCUACCAAGCCGACGAUCUCUAGCUGGUCUGAGAGGAUGACCAGCCACACUGGAACUGAGACACGGUCCAGACUCCUACGGGAGGCAGCAGUGGGGAAUAUUGCACAAUGGGGGGAACCCUGAUGCAGCCAUGCCGCGUGAAUGAAGAAGGCCUUCGGGUUGUAAAGUUCUUUCGGUGAUGAGGAAGGCGGUUGUUUUAAUAGAACAAUCGAUUGACGUUAGUCACAGAAGAAGCACCGGCUAACUCCGUGCCAGCAGCCGCGGUAAUACGGAGGGUGCGAGCGUUAAUCGGAAUGACUGGGCGUAAAGGGCACGCAGGCGGUGACUUAAGUGAGAUGUGAAAGCCCCGGGCUUAACCUGGGAAUUGCAUUUCAUACUGGGUCGCUAGAGUAUUUUAGGGAGGGGUAGAAUUCCACGUGUAGCGGUGAAAUGCGUAGAGAUGUGGAGGAAUACCGAAGGCGAAGGCAGCCCCUUGGGAAUAUACUGACGCUCAUGUGCGAAAGCGUGGGGAGCAAACAGGAUUAGAUACCCUGGUAGUCCACGCUGUAAACGCUGUCGAUUUGGGGAUUGGGCUUUAAGCUUGGUGCCCGUAGCU
rnacentral:rRNA from 1 species